rnacentral:lncRNA from 12 species
AUGGAUGAAUGGAUGGAUGGAUGGAUGGACAGACGGACGAAACAAACGAAGCCCCGUGGGCCCCCAAGGGUCGAGGCACCUAAACUCGGCCUAGCCCCCAAACAACAGCCAAGGCUGGAGACCCCUCUGGUGGCCGGCAGCCCUCGGCCAGGCGAAGCCCAGCGCGUCUCCGUGGAGACAGCGGCAGGGCCCGCCCCCGCCCUCGGCUGCAGUCUAGGCCUCCUUAUCUGGCGGUGGAAUGCGCGGUAUCCGCACUCGCUCCCGCUGGGGCCGCGCCUCCUCUCUCGCGACAGCCACACGCGAGGAACCCCUACGUCUCCCGUGGGGGCUGGGGACGCCUCUGCGGCCCGCCAGGGGCUUCUCCGGGUAUUCCCGAAGGACUUAGCGGCGGGAGUGUGUGUGUAUGGGGGGGGGGGGGUGAUCCCAGCAGCAGCCGCACCGCCAAUACGAAACCCGCCGUCGCGCCACGCGGGGGGACCGUGGGCUCAGCGCGUGGCGCCCGGGGCAUCUGACUGCGGCAGAGUCGGGGAGGGCAUGGAAAUCCCCGGAACAAAGCCACGCCCCCGAGGGGGUGACUGAAGACCAACUACUCCGGGAAACUGAGGCACGGAGACCGACCUGCAGGCGAUAUACCCUUGGCCCAUCCCUGGGACCCUGGAAUUGGAGGAGAGCAUAAGAUCCCCUUUAUUUACUCAACAAGGAGCCACCGAAGCACCUAUGUGUCAACGCAGCAAAUAAGUAUGAAGCGCCUACUCUGAGUUCCUUCCAACAAAUAAUCAAGUUCCUACCAUGUGCCACGCCCUGUCCCAAAGACAGGAUUCGUUUUUUGCCUUGAUAAGACCUCAGAAUUCAGAAAAGACCCCUACAAAACUGGGAGCACCCAAAAGUCUACCCUGCCUCUACUGAUGGAUGACUGUCCCGCCCUUGCUGCAGUCAACCAGACAAGAAGGCCCAGUUUUAUCCUGCCUUCCAACCUGGGGCCCCAUCUUCUCUACAAUUCUUUGGUUUCCCUCUCUUUUCUUCAUUCAGCUUCUCCUAGGCAUCUCUGUGUGCCUAGCUGCUAGGAUGGAAGGACACCUUCAUUUACUGAUGCACAUACAUGUGUGUGUGGUGAGAAAUUUGUGGCUGGACAACAUGAUAGGAGAACCUUUCAUUCCUUCAACAAAUAUUUUUGGUAUACCUACUGGGCACAGCAGGGAACCAAAUUGGAAAAAAAGUUCUCACCCAUGGAGCUUAUGUUCAGGUGCAAGAGACAGCCUUUUAGGAGGGUACUAUUUGUGAAAAUGCAUACAUAACCUUCUUAUAUGUCUACCAGGUACAUUAAGCACCUACUAUGUGCCAGAGAGUAUCCUAAAAGGCUGGAGGUAGAUCCGGAACAAAACAGAAAAAACCCCUGUCCUUAUGGAGCUGUGGUUCUACCACAUGAGCUCAAAAUAUCCAGAAUAUUGCAGGAAGAAAAACUAGUGAAUUCCCUAGGAGAUGAAGUCAAAGAAACAAGGCAUGGGAGGGAGGCCGCUUUCAUUCUAGGCACACUCUCCUGCCCCGUGAUUUUUGUAACAUGUGCAUGUGUGUCCUAUACCAAUAAUAAAUUAAAUAAAAAAUUAACUGCUGGAGGGGAG